UUGGCCCUUUAUGGUGGUGAAUGAUGCU
rnacentral:piRNA from 1 species